rnacentral:rRNA from 1 species
AACGUAGGGGGCGAGCGUUAUCCGGAAUCACUGGGCGUAAAGGGCGUCUAGGCGGUCCAGUAAGUCCUGCGUGAAAGCUCCCGGCUCAACUGGGAGAGCGCGUGGGAGACUGUUGGGCUAGAGACUCGGAGAGGGGUGUGGAAUUCCCGGUGGAGUGGUGAAAUGCGUUGAGAUCGGGAGGAACACCAGUGGCGAAGGCGGUUGCCUGGAGCUUUGCUGACGCUGAUGCGCGAAAGCGUGGGGAGCGAUCCGG